GCGAAGGUGGCGGAAUUGGUAGACGCUAGCUGGUGUUAGUCGCUUACGGACGGUGGGGGUUCAAGUCCCCCCUCGCACCA
rnacentral:tRNA from 1 species